ACAGUGGUUGGCCCCUCCAGCUACCAGUGAGCCGAGAGGCUUUCCCCACGCAGACCCAGAGGCUGGUCCAUGCAUCCAAUAAAAGUCCCUACAGUUCCUAGAAUUUUAACUAAAAGUCUCUGAACGAUCAGUAACGUUGGCAAGUCCUAGUGAAAAUGCACAGUGCACACCUGUCCUGUCGCUGUAAUACGGUUGUUACUGCCAUUUCACUCUGACCCUUAGUAUGUUUGGUUUGAAUUUGUUGGCUGGUUUUGUGUGUGUACACGUGUUUGCAGUCCUGGGUUGAGCACAAGGACUUGAAUGUAGUUUAUUAAAACAGACAUUUGGUGAGAUGGCUCAGGGGGUAAAGCCCAUGACACAGAGCCUGACCAGCCGCAUUCGCUCCUCAAGGCCCACGUGUUGGAAGGAGAGAACCAGCUUCUGCAGGUUGUCCCCGGACACACACGCACACACACACACACAGGCAUGCACACAGAGUAUUAAUUGAGAACAAGGAAAUGCACAGGCACACCAGCCAUGGUAGAAAGCCUGCCUCGUGACCACACUGAUAAACGGGCUGAAGCCAGGUGUUGUAUUCCCUGUAAUCCUGGCACCCAGGAGGUGAGGCAGGAGGAUGGAGAGUUUGAAAUCACCCUGGCCAUAUAGAAUGGCCUUUUCAAAGGAGAAACCUUCAGUGCUGACAGCUGACUGCCCACUCGUGUUUUCAAUGCCCAGAGAGCAUGCUGCUUUAAGUGCUGCAGACAGCACGCUCCCAGUGAGCAGGGACAGGUGCUCUGUGUCCUAGUAUCUGAGCCCUUUGGGCCAAACUGGGGAGACAGUAUAGUGCGUGGGAGCCAAGAAGGAUAUUUGUAUAUAUUUGCAAGGUCAAAUUGAUCAGAAAGCUUAACAGUAAGAUUGAAACCACAAAAUGGCUAAUGGGAGUGUUUAGGAUCACACAGGAGAUGUGAUGAGACUGAGUCCUCCUCCUCUUCCUCCUCCUCUUCCUCCUCCUCUUCUUCCUCCUCCUCCUCCUCCUCCUCCUCCUCCUCUGUCUGAUGAGCAGCCCCUGUGUAUCUGAGUGCCUAGUGGCAGGUCUCUGGAGGUCCAUAUUUCUUUGUUAGGAAAGAGACUAGUUUACCACCCUUCAGAUACACUUGCAGGGAAGCGAGACCAGACGUUUGUUAAGUAGAGCGCUCGGAUGACUAGAACCAGGCUUCAGUCUGUGUCUCUGAAGGAAGCAUUGAUGAAGGGAAGAGAACAUCCCAGGGACCCCACAGUGGUAACUGUCUGACUGCUGCACGGCCACAGACCUCAUUAUAAAGUGAGAGAUCUACUGUAAAGAGAAACCCUUCCAGCUUAAAGCCAAAAUAGCCCUGGCUUCUGCAGCAUCACCAGAGAAGGUGCGCCAAAGCCAGAGCCUCAAGUAUGACACAGGAUCCCCUACCCCAUGUCUUGUUGGGUGUGGCUCUUGGGAUGAGCUGUCCGAGAAAGCAUGGAAGUGCCUAAUAGUCUGCACCAGGGGCCUGCAGCUAGGAGGCUUAGAAUGUGCUCAGUCCUGAACAGGGAAGGCAGACAGAGAGCCUGGAGGUGGGUUUGUGUGUGCCCCAAGCUGCGCUCCCCCUGGAAGUGUGUCCCUACACACUGUUUUAGGGACAGCUGCUGUGUACACUCCCUGGCCUAUCACUGGCCAGCAUCACCAUAGUCUCCAUCUAAUCAAGUGUCCCCCUCCCCUCCUGUGGGAACCACCAGUGGCAUUACCCACCUAGGGCGUCAGUGCUCACUGCCAAAGGGAGUAGAGCUCUCACCUGUGGGUGUAGGGCAAGAAGCUCUAAGCACCUCACCACUGAGCCGCAUGGCCAGCUCUGAGGCCAGCAGUGUGGGGUGUACUCCAUUCUGACCAAAAGGUUUCCACUGCCACCUGCUUCCUGCACUCUGCAGGAGUCACCCAGUGGGGACACAAUUGGCAGGAAACAGACAGGCACCUGCUCCGCAUUGGAGUCAAAGUCAGAGCUGCCUUGAGUAUCUUAAAACAAGCAGGAUUCCUUAUCUUCCCCACCGAGGCUGUUUUCCAAAGUCUGGUUUCAUUCAGUCUGCCCAGCCUUUGUCCUGACUUAUGAACCCACCCACUUAAAAAAAACAAAAACUGCACUAAAAAGCC
rnacentral:lncRNA from 1 species